UACAAAGAUUGUUAACAAAGUUCUUUGGAAAGGAUUUGGAACAUAGGAAGUGACAGCUGGGGGUGUAACUAAUGUUACGUGUGAUAAGAAAAGCGGAGGGGUGAAGGCGUGAACACUCAGAGAGCAACGCUUGAGCAUCACAUUUACUGGCAAUUACAAGGGUUACGCCAGCUCCAUCUCUGUUCCGAGCCAGAUGGUACCAGAGAGGAGGCUAGACCCCCGCUACCAUCUAAAUAGGUUGCCAGGCCAACAGAGAGAUUCACCAAAGAUGUAUAUCAGACCACCUGAUGCUGGAAGACCAGUUGAGCUGCCUCUCUUCCCAUCUGCCCUAGCAGUCCCUCGCUUCCCAGGCAAUGACGGGCCCUGUUGCUGUGGUGAUGGAUGACUUUGUGUCGAGUGGCAGAGUUGGGGGGUCUUAGGUGAUACCACCUGUCUACGAAGGAAAGUGAGAAUGUAACAGAGAAAAAGAGAGAGGGCAUCUUUUUUCUGUUUGACUGACAGUCUAUUGUUUUUGCUCCCCUUUUCUUCUCACUAGUGCAUUUCUCAGUAUAUUUUCAUAUGAAUUUAAACUAAGCCUACUAUACACAGAGUUUAUUAUAUAUAUAUAUAUAUAUAUAUAUAUAUAUAUAUAUUCUUAUACAUAUUCUUAUUUCUAUCAUGACAACUCUCUGAAGAUUUUAGUAUGGUAAUGGAUAUGGCAAUGGUAAUGUAUUUGGUCUUGGUGGAAUAGAUCUGCUAUGCUGAUGAAUUGCUGUUGCUGUUGGUUAUUGCUGUUGUUGAGGAUUGUUACUGCUGCAAAACAAGGAACAUGCUACUGCCAAUACAGUGCUGUGAGUAUUUUAGACAUACUGCUGCUACACAAAUAGCAUAUAUAAUUAUCCAUAGCAGAGCUAUACAGGUGGAGCUGGGGAGGUGGAGGGUUUCAGAAGAACCCUGAAAGUGUGCUGUGAAAUACUAACCAUCCAUUUAAAUGUAGUAAGCUCAUUGGCUGUGUAUGCAACUGCUUGUACUAAGCAGUUUAAUGCUUUAAAUAUCAUUAGUUUGCAUUAAUGACUCAUCAGCCAUGUGCCGUCUAUAGUUUAAUGACAGAACUUGGCACUACAUACAUAUAUAUAGUAACCUGCAACUUCUAAUAAAUUCAUAAUUUUAUAAUUUCUAUAUAUGUAACACUUAUGUAUUGUUUUUAAUUAAAAACAUGAAGUUUAAGUAAUAAUGGGACUUCCUUUUCUGCUUCAAAGAGUUUGUCAUAGUUUGAACCAGGCAUGAGAAUGCAAACACACACACACAAGACACAGGGAAAAAAAAACAGCACAGCAACAACACACACCCCACACACUGUGAGAGAAGCUCCUCAUGCUGAAAGUCCCAUGAGUUCUUCUCCUGUCAAAAACCAUCGUUCUCAAACAGCAGCUCUUUGACAGAAGCCCACAAUCUAGCAGAAAACCCUCCGCUCAAUGCGACAGAAUGCACUCUGACACUGCAAUACACAAUAGAAGAUCUCACCAUUUUCUCUUCACCUGUGUGUUACGGUGUCACUGUUCAACACACUGUAGUCACAUUAUAAGACUCUCAAUUUCAGUGCACUGAAUGG